UACAGAGGGGGCAAGCGUUAUUCGGAAUUAUUGGGCGUAAAGGGCGCGUAGGCGGUUUUUUAAGUCGGAUGUGCAAUCCCCAGGCUCAACCUGGGAACUGCAUCCGAGACUGGAAGGCUAGAGUACUGGAGAGGGUGGUGGAAUUCCUCGUGUAGCGGUGAAAUGCGUAGAGAUGAGGAGGAACACCAGUGGCGAAGGCGGCUUCCUGGACUAAAACUGACACUGAGGCACGAAAGCGUGGGUAGCAAACAGG
rnacentral:rRNA from 1 species